UCACUUUUCAGGGCUUGUGCAGCACGCUUGCUCACAAGACGCCGACUGAGUUAGAUACCGGACAGCCAUGGUUUUGGAUGAUAUGCUAGGAAGAUUUGAUCUUGUAGUUUGUUUGUUUUUUGUCUCAGUUGUAGUGUAAAUGCAGCAAAUACAGGCCAUGGAAUUUGACCGUAAUCCAUCACCAGUAAAGGUAAACCAGUAAACGCGGUUUUAGUUGUUUGCUUACGUAUCUAGAUUUGCUGCAAUUUAACAAAAAUACACACGUUGAGCUAGUGUUUGCAGCGAUUUAGUACUGUACUUUACAAGCGAGCAAACGUAUAGAGGAAGUAUUUCUAGUGUCUCUAGCGGUAGGUUCCAGCUAUUUAUAAUGUUUGUUAUUGGGUAGGUGACUUACGCGGUUAAUGUUGCUUUUCUUUUUUGGGGUUGUGUUACUGUUUGGCCUGUUUAUCGAGUUGCUUCUGGGCAUGGAGGGGUAAUUAGAAAAUAUGGAUAGGACUAGCUAAACUUCUUGAUAUAAAACCAAUUUAUUUUCAUAAGAGAAUCCCGCUACCAAAUAUUAUAUUCACGUUGAGGUGUGGACAGUCACUACUUGUAGCUAUUGCUUUUUUUUCAAGGAUUUUACUGACCGUGAGAAUCACAGGUAGGCGAUUGAAAAGUUGGCGAGGUGGAGAAGGGUACCUUACUACCCUGAUGUGUGUGUGUAUAUAUAUAUAUAUAUGGAUUACUUUGUUCUAAAAAGGUUUAUUAUGGUCUGAACGAUUUCCUACGUACGUUUUCUAAUAGUUAUCCACGGAUACUUAUCAUAAACCUCUUCUCCGUUUAAAGCUAAUUGACCUCAUGGCUUUUUAAUUGUUUUCAGUGCAUUGAUAUGUUCUCGACAGCUUAGCUAUUUGCCAUCCCUGUUAGUUUGGUUUUUAGCUUAUUGGUUCAGAAUGGAUGGUACCUUAGUAGAGGACCAUUCUUUAUGGUCUGAUUCAAAAACUGUUCCCUUGUCUGGAAACAUGAAAACAAGCGGUGUUGAAACUGAUGAGGUGUUUAGUGUAAACCAAGCACAGAUCAGUAAUGAAUGGCCUACUAACAAUGUGAAUCUACUAUGCCAUAGUAACACUACUGCGUUUAUCUCACCCACUACAACAAGGGGAGGUAAUUUAGAUGAAUCUACUUGGCCUAUUCUUUCUGAUUGUGAGCCAUUAAGCUUUUGCUCUGAUGAACAUGAAAACUAUGAUGAAAAUAUAAGUCGGUAUAAGUCCAUGUAUAUAAGUAAAUUCCGAAAAAUUGUAAAGGAGGAAUAUAUACGACAGUGUCGCCUUAGUUACUCAGUAUUCAGCACAAGACCUGUUGGAAAAACUUGUAAAGAUCCAUAUGCCAAGUGCAGGGAAAUAGGUGUUGAUUUUAAUGUUGGCUCUGGAGAGAAACAAAAGCUUGAUUUUCAUUUACUGACAAAUGAUUUAAUGGUUGAGAUUUCUCAAUAUGCUAAAGAGAUCAAUAGAGCUACCAUGAAUGUUAUUUAUGAUGUUUUAGAUUACAACUUUGAUCUUUCAGUUAAAAACGAAGACCAAGCUGUCUUUUGUAGACAGAUAGCGGCCAGAUUAAAGGUGAUGCGGAAGGUGCCAAGCAAGCAAAAAACUAAUUUGUGGUUAACAGAAGUGUUUAAUCUUCCUUAUUAUAAGAAAGUGACAAAAGCAAAAUGCUCUCCUGUAUUUUGGGCAAGGUCAGACUCUUCUUCUGAGGGAGAUAAUAUAAAUCAGCCAGAAUCAACAAUGGACCAAUCCUCCAUGAUGUCCCUAACAGAAGAAGCAUUGAGGUUCCUCUACCCUCUCUGUAAGGAAAAAGGAGUUGUCCUUGACACAAAAUCUAAAUGUAGGAAAAAUGAAAAACUUGACUUGCAGCUAUUGACCAGAGGAGUAAUGCUUGAAAUGGCUGAUUUUGCUUCACAAAUUGCUGGAAAUUACAAGGAGAUUGUCUGUGAUGUUCUAGAGCAAAAUUUUGAUCUGGACUUACGGAAUGGGAAAACAGAACUUGCUGCCCUUAUUAUGUCACAGUUAAGUACGUUUCAGCAGAGAAGUGUGGAUAGUUGGAAAUUUAGACUUGGAAAUAAAGCUUUCUUAGAGAAGCUAUGCAAACAAAGGACUCCAGAUAUUUCAAAGAAAAAAGUUACUAUACAAUCACUUGAGCAGAAAUAUCCAAGACUAAAAGAUGUAACCAGGAGGGGGAGGUUGGAUUUAGUAAGUAAAAAGGAAUGCAUAGAAAUAGCCAAGGGCUCAAAGGAAAAAAAGAUCAGACCAGUAGAUCCCAAAUGUGUCAGUUUAGAGAGCAUAUCUGAUGAGAUUGACAAUGGCCUUUAUGCUGAUGAAACCAGGCCAAUUGUUGUUACCACUGUUACAGACAAAUUGAAUAGGUGUAAAACCCAAAAAGUUACGAAAGUGUGCAACCAACUUUGUCAGGAAAUUGGUCUAGAUCUUGAUGUUAUUUCGAAACCUGCAAAAACUAAGCUGGAAUUGAAUUUACUGACUAAAGGUGUAAUUUCUGAGGUUCAUGUAUACUUGUCCAAGAUUCAUUGUUCUAGAGGGAAGCGAGCAAAUUCAGUGAGAUAUCCUGCAUCUGCACUCUAUGACAUUCUGGAAUACAAUUUUGAUCUUCCUUUUCAAAAGGAGUGCAGUUCUCAAUUUGCUGCUAGAUUUCGGGGUAGAGUGUAUGCAUUGUAUCAGAAACACUACAGAGUGCUCAAAACAAAGGGUAAAAUCUCAAAAGAAGUGUUUUCACUAUAUAGUGACACUCACAGCAAAGUAAAAAAAAAAAAGCUUUCAUAUUUUCCUGAAAUAUUGUCAAAAAGAAAUCUAAGGAAAAAACAAGUACCAGAUGGUAAAGACACUAUUUCUAUGGAGACAGUUUCAACUGCAGCAACAUUUGGCAAGGAUAAUGGAACUGUUGACUCUAUCUCCAUAAAGAAAGGACCUGAACUGGACAUAAUUUGUCAUCAGGAAGACUGGGUCGAGACUGAGAUCUCUGCUGAUGUCUCCAUAAAGAAAGAACCUGAACUGGACAUAAUUUGUCCUCAGCAAGACUGGGUCAAGACUGAGAUCUCUGCUGAUUUCUCAAUAAAGAAAGAACCUGAACUGGACAUAAUUUGUUCUCAGCAAGACUGGGUCAAGACUGAGACCUCUGCUGAUGUCUCCAUAAAGAGAGAACCUGAACUGGACGUGAUUCGUUCUCAGCAAGACCGGGUCAAGACUGAGACCUCUGCUGAUGUCUCCAUAAAGAAAGAACCUGAACUGGACGUGAUUCGUUCUCAGCAAGACCGGGUCAAGACUGAGACCUCUGCUGAUGUCUCCAUAAAGAAAGAACCUGAACUGGAUGUAAUUUGUCCUCAGCAAGACUGGGUCAAGACUGAGAUAUCUGCUGAUGUCUCAAUAAAGAGAGAACCUGAACUGGAAGUAAUUUGUCCUCAGCAAGACCGGGUCAAGCCUGAGAUCUCUGCUGAUGUCUCCAAAAAGGAAGAACCUGAACUGGAUGUAAUUUGUCCUCAGCAAGACUGGGUCAAGACCGAGAUGUCAACUGAGACAGAUCUUCACUCUGAGGUCCAAAUGGUUUAUUUCUGUGAAGAACAAAAUCCUUUAGGCGCAUCUGAAGAGACAUUAAUAAUUAGUUCAUGGCAUGGAUCAACAUCAAGUAACAGUUGUGAUAUUAGGAUUGAAAAUGUAUUCAGUGUUCAGCAAUCACCACUACUGACAGCAGAAACAGGUUGUAUUGACAUCCAAAGUAACCAUAGUUUACAAACAGAUGAAACACAAUAUGCCUAUGAAACGAGUGAAAUUGGCCAUGAAAAUGGAGCUGCUGUCAUCUGUAUGAUGAAAGAGCCUGAGCUAAACAAGUGUCCUCAUCAAGACGGAGUCAAGACGGAGACCCCAACUGAGACAGACAUAACAAUCUGUGCUGAUGAAAUGGCAUGCAGACUUGGAAUAAACACAUCGGUGCCCACGCUUAAAAAAGCAAUGGAGAACCUUCAUCCUGUCUGUAAGAAAAAAGGAAUUGACCUUGAUAUCCAAUCCACAUUUGGGAAAGAAGAGUCAGAUGUUACAUGGUGUGCUGGCAAUAAAAUCCUUGGCCUUGAAAAUGGGGCUAUUGAUGUAUGCACAAGAGAUGAGUCUGAUCUGGAUUUGAUCUAUCCACAACAUGUACAGGCGGAGACCUUCUCCACUCAGACAGAGGCAGCCAUGGACCUAUGGAACCCUGCUACGUUGUCUGAGCCAAAAUACCAAAGACAGAAAAAAAUAACAGAGGGACAGGAUUCAAGUAGUGCAAAUAAAAAAAUGGAUCAGUUUACAGCCAUGAAGAUAAGCAAUGCUGAAUUUGAAAGACCAGUUGAACCUCAAAACAGCAUGUCAGGGAGCAUCUCUGAUGUGCAUCAUCUCAGGAAAAGAAAAGCAGAGUUUCCUUUAUUGGAAAAUUCAAAACGAAAACGACCUGCUGGCAAAGACGAGUUGGAAGAUUCUGAUCUCUCAGUUAAUAGCCAGUUGCACAUUUGUAGAAAAUUUAUUAAAGACCUAAUGUGUGAUUCUGUGCAGCAGAAUAUGUGGAUUUUUUCCAGAUUUUCAAAAUGCUUUGUUGUUGAGAUUAGUUCUGAGAAUAAUUUCAAACAUAUCCUUGCUGAAUACAGAUCUGACAUCCUACCUCUCAUAAUUGAGGGGUAUGGUGCAAUGAAUCACUCUGAAAAGACUGUGAUUUCCCAUGUCAAUGAGCUCUUCUGUGGCUUACAUUUAAUUGAAGCCUUAGCUCGCCAGGUAAAAACAACUCUUCUACUCUGGGAAAAUAUAUUAGGAGUUAUGAAAUUAGAAUCCAGUAGCUUUCCGUCCAUUUGUAUGACUCCUUUGGAGGCUAGAACAGUGCGUUUGAUAAGAUCUGCAUGUGAUGUUGUCCAAGAACUUGGACGUCAAGAAGACUGUCAGUUAAUUAAUUUUGAAACUAUUUUGGUCAGCAAAACAGAAUUUCUUGAAGUGCCAUUAUCUCCAGCCAGUGGAGACAGAAUAGAUAGUUUGUUUUGUAAUGGGGCAGUGGUUUACUGUAUCUAUGAUGAUUUAGUUAAGUUAACCAAUAACCACAGAGCUGGGAAAGAUCUGCUUGCAGCAUUUAGUGCUGAUUUACAGGUUCCACAGUUGAAGGCAGGAUGCCGAGCUCUGGGUCUGAUUUCCAAGCUAAUCAUUGAUCCUCUAUGGGAAGCCCUGACCUCAAAGGGAGAUGUGUUAGGGAUGGAGCAAAGAUACCAAACACUUGUUAAGAAACUAAAGCAAUGGCAGGAUAAUGGGAGAGACGUAGUUGAAGGAACUGCACAGCUGUUUGAUGACAUUGAGGUAACCAAGGACCUUGUUUUUAACAGGCUCACCAUGUGUACGGAGACCGACCAUUUUGAAUUGACUGUUCAGGUUGUUGAGUUGAUCUUGGCAAGUAUUUUGGAGGUAUGUGUUAAAAUGCCUGUUGAUCUAGAGCCAGCUUCAGAUAUUCAUGAUCGAUGCAGACGUAAUUUUGUAGUUUUUGAAAGUCUUCAGAUGGCUAAAUCAAACGCUGUCAGUGUUGCAUUUGAAAUCUUUGACAUGUUCAAGAAUAAUAAAUCUUGGGAAUGGCUCCAGACUAUAGACAAAGGGAAAAAAAUGUCAGUUUUAAAAUCCCUGCAGCAAGCAGUUAAGCAACAGAGAAUUUUGUCUAAAGGAAAGAGGGCCAUUGAGCUCUUGGGAGUUUGUGGAAUGCAACGCGAAAGAGCAGUCAUGCUCAAGACUAGACAUGAUGUAGCCUAACUGAAUUACAGAACCUGGCUGAAGUGCGCAUUAAUAUCACAGUCAUGGUUUAAAUCUCAUUGUACCUGUAAAGCACUUUACAACCUUUUUUUUUUUUAAAGAUGACAAAUCAAGAAGAAGGCCAGCAUAUGUUUUUGGAUAUUGAAAUGGUCCAAUAUUUAUCCCAAAAAUUGCAUUGAGCAUACUCAUUAGUUUGCCUUUUUAUGUUGGUUGGCAUCUUUGUUUCAGUUGUUGGGGAUAUAAUUCUUUCCAGACUUUUACUAUCUAUAGUACAAAUUACAAAAACAAAUUGGUUUUUAUAGCCAAGAAAAAAACAAGGUGAAUAUGACUUGCUUGACUCAUUUGGUUGAGCAUGGCUUUUGUUACAUCAGGGUUGUGGGUUUGAUUCCCAGUGGGGGCCAGUGAAAAGAAGUAUGUAAGUUAAUGUAUUCACUCCUCUAAGUCGCUCUGAAUCAGAGCAUCUGCUAAUACUCUUAUAAUUAAAUGAAGUCCUCCAAGUAGCCUGGUACCUCAUUCUAAAGCGAUGAAACGCAUCCCAGCUUAAUCUCUAGAGGAAAAAAGCAAAGGUUCACCUUUCUACGUUCGGCAGACACAUUUAUGGUCUUCCUCAAGUCGAUUGACUCACUUGAUUCUGUUCCCCUUUAGAAGUGUCAUCCUCGGUUGUGUUCAUUUAAAAAUAAGUUGUAGUAAAACUUCUAAGGUUAGGUUACAUGGUGUCUUGAAUAAGUUCAGAAAUUAAUACUCAAGAUUGAGUUGUCUGGUUGUAUGAUUUAGUAGAAUAGGAAUGCCAAAAAUAAUUAGACUUUUUGUAUCAAAGGAUCAAUGUGUAGAAUUUUUUUCUCCAUGUUUUAGCUAAUGUGUUUGUCACCCCUUUUCUCCAAAUCCCAUUAAUGCCAGUGUUUCGCUUUUUGUCCACCAGUUUCAAAAAGCUGUAAAAUAUACAUAAGUCUGUUGCACAGUCCCGCGUCGAUAGUCCAGUAGAAGUUCUGCAUUUUACGAUAUGUUUUUAUACUAAUACUAUUACUGCAGGUAUAUUAUAGCCAUCAUAUUAUAUUGCAAGGCAGAAUGUGAAUGGAUUAGGCAAAUUUCCAUGGCCUCUGGUUAGUUAGCAAUUGAUAGAUUGAAUACAACUAGAGUAUUGAUUUUCCUCAUUGGCUAGCCUAACGCAUUUACAUUUAAAAGAAGAAAAUAACAUUUAUUUUCAGAUUUGACAGUAUGCUGAUUGGUGAAAUAAUUUACCAUGAUGGAUAUUUUUUUUUGGCAACAAUCUUUUAAAACUAUUUUUGUUAGCUUUUUUGUUUUGUUUAAUAACGACAUUAAGAAAAACAAUGCAUCGAGACUUCCUUCAAAUAGUUACCUGCACUUUCUUUGGACGUCAACUAUAAAGUGGAUUUUUUAUUUUUAUUUUUUUACUGGGACAUACCUGUUUUUAGGUGUUGCUAUGUCACCUGAAGCAUCUGGAUUACAAGGGACACAACUAUGUGAUGUGUUUCCAGCAUGGGUGUCCCUAAAUCAGCAUGGCCUUGGUCAUGGACAUUCCCUCUCCACAUUGGACUUAAUUAUUUUGACUUAAAACCCUUGAUGCCUUGAAGAGGCUCUACAUUAUUCCAUAUGCAGUGGUGUUUGUCAGCACAGCUACACUUGGCAACUGAACUUCUCGUCAUGAUGACAUGGUUGCAUUUCUGCUGUGCUGCCUCAGAACCACAGUUGUAGCUUCACUUGAACGGGAGCUGUCACUUAUUGAUUUGCAACAGGUCCUCUGUUUGCCGAUCUAAUGGGAUAUGAAAGUCUGAUACCAUCAUCAACUUGUGGACCUGACCUGAGGAUGUUUAACUCCACAGUUUCACCUUCUUCAGCCAUGUUGUUUUCCUUCAGACAGUUGGUCUUUGAAAUCCAUGCCAUAGGCUGACUUGAUGAAAUUAUUUACAUUUAAUUUUUAAAAGUUUUAAAAGACUCGCAGUGGCCUUUUGUGUGACUGGUAAUGAGGCCACAUAGGGGCCCCUGAAUGGCUGACCAGUUAGCUAUGUUACUGCCCGUCCAGAGUUUGAAUGCCCUGGUGUCCUAUGGAGGUUGCUGCAAUUGGCCAGCCAUCUGCACUUUUGGGGGUUAUUAAUCAAAUUUGAUUGUUGUCCCUCAUGAUGCUCCCGUAACUCCUUGUCAGGGCUGGUGCGUCAGAGGUCAUUCAAUAUUAAGGCCUGUGAAUGUGCUCCUUCCGGUGUGUAGAGAUGACGGUACUUUCUGGUUGAGCAAGCAAUGUCACAUGAACCAGCACCGCGGUCAGAUUCAUCUUCGGAGGACGCAUCUUGACACUGACUGUCCCGUGUUUGCUAGGAGUUACUGCAAUAAAGCAGGGCCUUAUACAAUUGCUGUAACAAGUUUGCUCCACAGAUUAUUUAAAGUAUGUUUCUGUUCUUCAUUUUUUAAUAAAUUUGCCCAAAAAUUACAUUUACAAA